CUGUUGCAUGUUGGUGGCUGACGCUGGUUUAAUAUAUGCACCAAGAAGCAUACUACACAUACCCUCUGUUGUAAGACUGGUACCCAGGUGACCGACAGCCAUGGCCACAUUCAGCUGUGCAGCUCUUCAUCCCCUGCCAGAUCUUCUCACCUCUUCGUAAAGCUUUUCUCGGUGACUGGUAUAGUGGCACUUCUUACAUCGAAUGUAAAGGAUCCAUGCAAGGCCUCGUUUUUCCUCCCCAUGCUGAUUCCAGUCCAGUUGACCAUCACAGUCUGGAAAAUUCUCUGCCAGGACUUCUAAGAGAAAUCCAUUCUUUGAUGACUGAUGGAAAAGCCUCAUCACCCCCCACUGCUUAAGAACCCCUUAUCUUAAUCACCAGCCAUUAAUCAGUGAUCACUGUUACCAAAGCUCCAAGGUGCGCAUGAUGCAGCUUCCUGGAUGGUGUGUAGGCUGUUUGUCAACAUGUGAAUCCCAUGUGCAUUUCGGGGUAGG